rnacentral:rRNA from 1 species
UACGUAGGGGGCGAGCGUUGUCCGGAUUUAUUGGGCGUAAAGAGCUCGUAGGCGGCUUGGCAAGUCGGGUGUGAAACCUCCAGGCUCAACCUGGAGACGCCACUCGAUACUGCCAUGGCUAGAGUCCGGUAGGGGACCACGGAAUUCCUGGUGUAGCGGUGAAAUGCGCAGAUAUCAGGAGGAACACCGGUGGCGAAGGCGGGUCUCUGGGCAGUAACUGACGCUGAGGAGCGAAAGCGUGGGUAGCGAACAGG